rnacentral:rRNA from 1 species
UACGAACUGUGCGAACGUUAUUCGGAAUCACUGGGCUUACAGGGUGCGUAGGCGGUUCGCUAAGUCAGAUGUGAAAUCCCCCGGCUCAACCGGGGAACUGCGUUUGAGACUGGCGGGCUGGAGUGAGGUAGGGGCGCGUGGAACUUCUAGUGGAGCGGUGAAAUGUGUAGAGAUUAGAGGGAACGCCGGCAGCGAAAGCGGCGCGCUGGGCCUUAACUGACGCUGAGGCACGAAAGCCAGGGGAGCGAACGGG